UACGUAGGGUGCGAGCGUUGUCCGGAAUUAUUGGGCGUAAAGAGCUUGUAGGCGGUUUGUCGCGUCUGCUGUGAAAAUCCGGGGCUCAACCCCGGACUUGCAGUGGGUACGGCAGACUAGAGUGUGGUAGGGGAGACUGGAAUUCCUGGUGUAGCGGUGAAAUGCGCAGAUAUCAGGAGGAACACCGAUGGCGAAGGCGGUCUCUGGGCCGACUACUGACGCUGAGGAGCGAAAGCGUGGGGAGCGAACAGG
rnacentral:rRNA from 1 species